rnacentral:rRNA from 1 species
UAGGGAAUCUUCGGCAAUGGGGGGAACCCUGACCGAGCAACGCCGCGUGAGUGAAGAAGGUUUUCGGAUCGUAAAGCUCUGUUGUUAAGGAAGAACGAGUGUGAGAAUGGAAAGUUCAUACUGUGACGGUACUUAACCAGAAAGGGACGGCUAACUACGUGCCAGCAGCCGCGGUAAUACGUAGGUCCCGAGCGUUGUCCGGAUUUAUUGGGCGUAAAGCGAGCGCAGGCGGUUAGAUAAGUCUGAAGUUAAAGGCAGUGGCUCAACCAUUGUAGGCUUUGGAAACUGUUUAACUUGAGUGCAGAAGGGGAGAGUGGAAUUCCAUGUGUAGCGGUGAAAUGCGUAGAUAUAUGGAGGAACACCGGUGGCGAAAGCGGCUCUCUGGUCUGUAACUGACGCUGAGGCUCGAAAGCGUGGGGAGCGAACA